rnacentral:rRNA from 1 species
AGAGUUUGAUCAUGGCUCAGGACGAACGCUGGCGGCGUGCUUAACACAUGCAAGUCGAGCGAUGAAGCUCCUUCGGGAGUGGAUUAGCGGCGGACGGGUGAGUAACACGUGGGUAACCCACCUCAAAGAGGGGGAUAGCCUCCCGAAAGGGAGAUUAAUACCGCAUAAUAAUCAGUUUCCACAUGAAAAUUGAUUUAAAGGAGUAAUCCGCUUUGAGAUGGACCCGCGGCGCAUUAGCUAGUUGGUAGGGUAACGGCCUACCAAGGCGACGAUGCGUAGCCGACCUGAGAGGGUGAUCGGCCACAUUGGAACUGAGAGACGGUCCAGACUCCUACGGGAGGCAGCAGUGGGGAAUAUUGCACAAUGGGCGAAAGCCUGAUGCAGCAACGCCGCGUGAGUGAAGAAGGUUUUCGGAUUGUAAAGCUCUGUCUUUGGGGACGAUAAUGACGGUACCCAAGGAGGAAGCCACGGCUAACUACGUGCCAGCAGCCGCGGUAAUACGUAGGUGGCGAGCGUUGUCCGGAAUUACUGGGCGUAAAGAGUGCGUAGGCGGAUAUUUAAGUGAGAUGUGAAAUACCCGGGCUUAACCCGGGCACUGCAUUUCAAACUGGAUAUCUAGAGUGCGGGAGAGGAGAAUGGAAUUCCUAGUGUAGCGGUGAAAUGCGUAGAGAUUAGGAAGAACACCAGUGGCGAAGGCGAUUCUCUGGACCGUAACUGACGCUGAGGCACGAAAGCGUGGGUAGCAAACAGGAUUAGAUACCCUGGUAGUCCACGCCGUAAACGAUGAGUACUAGGUGUAGGAGGUAUCGACCCCUUCUGUGCCGCAGUAAACACAAUAAGUACUCCGCCUGGGAAGUACGAUCGCAAGAUUAAAACUCAAAGGAAUUGACGG